rnacentral:rRNA from 1 species
GACGAACGCUGGCGGCGUGCCUAACACAUGCAAGUCGAACGGAGUUACCCUUCGGGGUGGCUUAGUGGCGAACGGGUGAGUAACGCGUGAAGAACCUGCCUUUCAGUGGGGGACAACAGUUGGAAACGACUGCUAAUACCGCAUAAUGUCAUUUGGGGGCAUCCCCGAAUGACCAAAGAUUUAUUGCUGAAAGAUGGCUUCGCGUCUGAUUAGCUAGUUGGUGAGGUAACGGCUCACCAAGGCGACGAUCAGUAGCCGGUCUGAGAGGAUGAACGGCCACAUUGGGACUGAGAUACGGCCCAGACUCCUACGGGAGGCAGCAGUGGGGAAUAUUGGGCAAUGGGGGAAACCCUGACCCAGCAACGCCGCGUGAAGGAAGAAA